GACGAACGCUGGCGGCGUGCUUAACACAUGCAAGUCGAACGGAAAGGCCCUGCUUUUGUGGGGUGCUCGAGUGGCGAACGGGUGAGUAACACGUGAGUAACCUGCCCUUGACUUUGGGAUAACUUCAGGAAACUGGGGCUAAUACCGGAUAGGAGCUCCUGUUGCAUGGUGGGGGUUGGAAAGUUUCGGCGGUUGGGGAUGGACUCGCGGCCUAUCAGCUUGUUGGUGGGGUAGUGGCUUACCAAGGCUUUGACGGGUAGCCGGCCUGAGAGGGUGACCGGCCACAUUGGGACUGAGAUACGGCCCAGACUCCUACGGGAGGCAGCAGUGGGGAAUAUUGCACAAUGGGCGGAAGCCUGAUGCAGCAACGCCGCGUGCGGGAUGACGGCCUUCGGGUUGUAAACCGCUUUCGCCUGUGACGAAGCGUGAGUGACGGUAAUGGGUAAAGAAGCACCGGCUAACUACGUG
rnacentral:rRNA from 1 species